GCCUGCUUAGCAUAGUGGCUAAUGCGUUGCACUUGUAUCCAGAAAUGGACUUUUAGACAUGCAAAGAUCACAGGUUCGAUUCCUGUAGUAGGCA